CUUGAGAUGCCUACGUUAAACCAAGGUCUAGCUGUUUGGCAAUUAUAUAUCAGUGUUUCUUGGUGUAAUGGACCAUUCUUCGUCUUCGAGAAAUCGUCCUGUGCAAAAAUAUGUUCUGUUUUCGUAAAAACACCAAAGCGAUAGCGUUUGAAGAGUUUAUAUUGUCAGGAAACAUUCACAGGGAAGAAAGCGAUUGAAAAUCUCAGGUAAGCGUUGCUUUUCAUUGUUGUUUUAUUGAAAAAUGUUGUUCACUCCUAUACAAACGCCAUUUUUAACUACGUUUUGGACAGUUAACUAUACCCUAAAGCAUAGUUAACUUUAACUACUUUUUAACUGCAGUUAAGGCUAACUACACUUUUAUACAACCGGCUUAACUACGUGAUUAAAGUUAACUAUUUUUUAAGGCUUUUUAACUACUUUUUAACUGCAGUUAGCGCUAACUACGUUUUUAUACAACCGGCCCCAGUUCAGUAAAACAAUGAAAAGCAACAGUUACCUGAGAUUUUCAAUCGCUAUCACCCCUGUGAAUGUUUCCUGACAAUAUAAAAUCUUCAAACGCUAUCGCUUUGGUGUUUUUACAAAAACAGAACAUAUUUUUGCACUGGACGAUUUCUCGAAGACGAAGUAUGGUCCAUUACACCAAGAAACACUGAUAUACAAUUGCCAAACAGCUAUACCUUGGUUUAACGUAGACAUCUCAACGAAAAACUACAU